CAGGGUGCUUUUGUCGCGAAAGUUUUUCUUUGUUUAUACAAUUUUGUCGCUUUACAAACAAUUUGUCGAUGUCAUAUGACAAUAAGAACAAAAUUAUUAAGUUUUUAAAAGUGAAAAGUGCUUUUACUAUUUAUUACCUUGCUUUUAAUUGGUAGCACAAAAAAAGAAAAAUUCGACAAUCGGAUCAUAACCUAUAUUCGAGAAUCGAGGGCUAAUUUGCUUAUAGAAUCUAAACCAAAGAAAAUUAUUGUUAAAACUCUUUCUUUUUUGGCGGAUAUUUGGAUUUAGAUCAUAUUAAAAACAAGCACAAUUCUAAGAAGAUAAUUUGGAACAGUAAAAUCGUGUCAAAUAUUUGGUAAAAAUUUUCCAAAUUAAAAGAGGCUCAAAUUGGAUCUUUUGCGGAUGGAGAUAAUUUGCUGACAGCAGACAGAAUUGGUGAUCGGAAAAAAGGUUCUAGAAUAAGAAAAAGGAUCUUCAAGAAAUCAAUUGAAGAAACUGAAUUCAAAAAUUGAUUAAUUUAAAAGGAGGCUGUCUUUCUCAACUCCUUAAUGCAA